rnacentral:sRNA from 1 species
UGUAAUACUUUCAAAAUUAGCUCGACGC